UAAUAGUGUUAGUGACCAUGUCAGUUUAAAAACUUAUAAGAUUAAUAAAGUUUAAGUGUGGGAGAGCCAUGCUUCGGCACUGCAGGGCCGGCUUGACCGGAGUGAUACCACGGCUGAGCAGAAAACCGACGUGAAACAACGCUUGCGUUGUGUGAGUGAGGUUACCUAAGACCGAAUUCAUCAUUCCCAAUCUUCCCAAUCUUCCCAAUUCCCCCAACAACAUUUAAGUUCCUAACCCCCAAAUGCCUGGCUCUGGUGUUUCGGAUGUCUAUGGGCGGCGGCGAUUGCUGACCAGGUGACAGGUGAUCCGUCAGCUCGUUUACCGCAGUAGAGAUUGUCCAGUCAACUGAUGGUAGCGAGGUUCACUGUCCAGUGACACACGUACGCUGGUAUCGUCAUGAGCUAAUGUCGACAUGUAAACAGUGACUCGUGUAGUGUAGAGAUUGUCCCGUCAACUGAUGGUAGCGAGGUUCACUGUCCAGUGACACACGUACGCUGGUAUCGUCAUGAGCUAAUGUCGACAUGUAAACAGUGACUCGUGUAGUGUAGAGAUUGUCCAGUCAACUGAUGGUAGCGAGGUUCACUGUCCAGUGACACACGUACUUAGUUAUCAUUUUAAGUUAUUAUAUUAAGAGCAAAAGAGAUGACAACACGACUGUCUCCCUUCAAUCUGCAAAGAUAUAUUGUUUGCACUAUAAAUAUAUGUAAAUGGCAAAAAUACUAGAAAAGAAUAGAAUGAUAUAUGUAUAGUGCUGUUUCGCUCGCACUGAUUGACGUCACAUUUGUGUGAUAGAGACAACACUAAGCUGGAAUUAUUGUCUAUCCUUUUCUUACCCUGGAUAUUAAGUAUUAUUUUUGUAUAUUAUGUUGUUUUAUUUUGCUCAGCUCCUAAAUAUUUCUUAUGCCACUCUUAUAUAUUACAUAAGACACAGUAGAAAACUUAUUGUCAAGAUACAAUAAGUUUUCUACGUUUAUCUUAGUUCUGGCAUACUGAGGGUUAAAAAUAAUAGUACUUCUCGAUAAAUGGACUAUCGAACCCAAUUAUAAUUAAUUAUUAUGUUAUCGGCUUACUCACGUAAUUGUUUGACGAGGAACUCGACUAGUUUCAAGCUGACUAGAGGCUCAUAUUCAUAGCAUGGCUUGAAACUAGUCGAGUUCCUCGUCAAACAGUUACGUGAGUAAGCUGAUAACAUAAUAAUUAAUUUAGUAUGUCUCACGAAAGUUACAAUAAAAUUACCAAUUAGAAUUAUUAAAUUCGAUCCAGUAGUUCAGGAGAUUAGCGCGUUCAAACAAUCAGUCUUAUUUAUUUUUUGAUUAAAAAUAACAUAUAUGAAAAUAAUACUUAGUUCCAAAUUUACAAAGGAAUUUCUUAAGACGUACAAUUGAGCCCAAACAAACGAGAGAUUGUUCAAAAUAUAUUAUGUUUACCGGUUCACUCACGUAACUGUUUGACGAGGUACCUCGACUAGUUUCAAGCUAUACCAGGGACUCAAACAGUUACGUGAGUAAACUGUUUAACAUGGUAAUUGAUUUAAUAUGUCUCAAAAGUUUGAUUAUAAGAAAAGCUUCAUAUUUUAAAUGUCAUGUCAAACGAUUUUUAAUUCUAUUUAGUGGUUUUAACUGUAUUCUAAGUAUGAGUUUGCUUUACGUUUAAAGUAAUCGAAAAUCAUCCCCUAUUACAUGGGACUUAUAACACAAAUGGUGAAAGGGGGUGUACAUUUGUACAGUGGCAUUACGUGCCGUAAUGUGCAGAUACACCUCUGCCUACACCUUCGAGGAUAAAAGACGACGUUGAUUGAUUGGUUGAUUAAUUGAAACGAAAGGGCGUUCGGCGCUCUUGAUUGGCCGGUGCGCAUGGAUCAACCAAUCAGAGCGCCGAACGCGCUCUAGUUUCGAUUACUAUAAACGUAAAGCAAACUCUUUACUAAAGGUACUCUGUACAGUUCAAUCGUAAGAUGCAUUCAUUAAGCCUGCACGAAAGCAAUGUACGAAAAACUUGAUAUAAACAUUCUUAUGUCUUCACCAUAGAGUUGAAAAUCGAUUGAUAUGAUAACAAAUACUUGGUUUGUAAAGAUGUGUAUCAAGGCUUAUACUAAAUAUACAGAUGUAAAGCGUAUAGAGGUACUCUUAACUGAAAAUUGUCAUGCAAUCAGCCACGUAGUGUCCACUGCCUCCCUUCCCCCCUCUUACCCCUUUACCCUCUUACCCCUUACCCCUUCCCCCUCCCCCCAAUGACUACACAUCGUGAGGUUGAAAUAAAAUAUUCUUUAUUUAAUGGAGUCUACCAUUUUGGCUGACUAGUACCCCUUAGUAUGAGUUUGCUUUACGUUUAAAGUAAUCGAAACGAAAGCGCGUUCGGCGCUCUGAUUGGUUGGUUUAUGCGAGACGGCCAAUCAGAGCGCCGAACGCGUGUAAACGUAAAGCAAACUCAUACUAAUGGUGUAAAUGUGGUAAGAGGCAUUUUUCGUCCAAUCACAGCAACUCUCAAAUAUUAAACGUCCAAUAGUGUGAAGCUAGCUAAUUCCCUAUUGGACGAAGAACGAGAUUAACAUUAGAACUUGAGACGGGAUAUUUACCAUGUUUAUUUAUGUCUAUGAGUUUCAGUUCAUCCGUGAUCAUGGCGCUUGCAACAGUGCCGAAAUAUCGGAAACUCAUAGACAUAAAUAAACAUGGUAAAUAUCCCGUCUCAAGUUCUAAUGAUAG